rnacentral:rRNA from 1 species
GGGCCCGCACAAGCGGUGGAGCAUGUGGUUUAAUUCGACGCAACGCGAAGAACCUUACCUGGUCUUGACAUCCUGCGAACUUUCUAGAGAUAGAUUGGUGCCUUCGGGAACGCAGUGACAGGUGCUGCAUGGCUGUCGUCAGCUCGUGUCGUGAGAUGUUGGGUUAAGUCCCGUAACGAGCGCAACCCUUGUCCUUAUUUGCCAUCAUUUAGUUGGGCACUCUAUGGAAACUGCCCGUGAUAAGCGGGAGGAAGGUGUGGAUGACGUCAAGUCAUCAUGGCCCUUACGACCAGGGCUACACACGUGCUACAAUGGGGCGUACAAAGGGUUGCAAUCCCGCGAGGGGGAGCUAAUCCCAUAAAACGUUUCGUAGUCCGGAUCGCAGUCUGCAACUCGACUGCGUGAAGUCGGAAUCGCUAGUAAUCG